UGCUACAUCUGAAUGCCAGCUACCUAUUGCACUGCUGGCACGUAGUUGGAGACAAAGGUGCCGCCAGUUUUCCAGCUCGCUGUUGAUACAAUGCAAUACUGGUACAAAAUGUCCGUAUUCUGUGUUUUUAGUGUUGUAUGUUUGUAUAUGAGUCUUGCGUCGUAUGAACAUUACGUACAUGAGUUUAAAGUGUUCCCGCGAAAGUAGGUACUGAAUUAGCUCACGCCAGGAUUGCGUUGCGGAGAUAUUUGUAGCCCAUACAAUGUUUUAUGGCGUCAUUUACGACACUUUCUGUUUUUCUUGCCAUUGUAUGCACGUGAGUAGUGCCGCAUGUUGCGCUUGCAAAUCAUGUUCUCAAUGCCAUUUUCUUUUGGUACAAUUGGUCACCACUACAUAUCACUCGCAUACACACGCCCAAGCAAGUCCGAUAUCAAUCACUGUCCAGAAGUGCAUGAUGCAUUCAACCACGCAUAGAACACUGGCACACCAAGAACAUGAACUCACGCAAAAACGAGAGGACUAUUACACGACUUCGCAUUGGACACACCGCUAUCACACACAACUACAUCAUCACAAGAAGCCCGAGACCGAAAUGCAACACCUGCAACACUUUCAUCACUGUCAAACAUCUGCUACUCACAUGCCCACAAUACCAACACCACAGGACAAACAUGCAAACAUACUGCAGAGACGCCAACAUCCCACUAACACUCACAACACUGCUCGGGGACUUACACCCCGAGCUAACAACACUACUCAUCCACUACAUACACAACACUGGGCUGAUAAAUGACCUGUAAAUCUCCUCCCCUAGAGCCAAGGACAAAAAAGCCAAAAAAAGCCAAAAAAGAAGCCAAAAAGAAAAAAAAACAGUAUUCAAAACAAUGAGAAUCAAAAUAAAAGACCCCAGAAUGGCAAAAUGGCAAAAAAAAAAAACAAAAAAUAAUAAUAGAAGGGGCAAUCCGGCUACCCGGGAGGAGAUAGCUAGGAACCCUGUCCCACCCCUCAGCCCACCCUUACGAGCCAAGAAGACGACGGACACUUCAAGACAACGGACGGACCAACAACGAAGACGGACGACAGAACCGGGCCCAAAUACAGGACGCUGUGGUGGCCCGUAAGCCACAAAUACCAUACCAUACCAUACCAGUGCAUCAUGCAGCAGAAGAAGCUUCAUUGAACACACUCGUCAUCAUGAACGGCAUCUUAGGAGCUUCAUGAGUUUGGAUCUGUGAACAGUAAGUGGAAUGGGAGCAUAAUGGUACACGCUACCAAACCAGAUUUUUUAUAAACAAAAACAUUACGUUUAUUACCGUUUGGAGGUGAUUUGUUUUAUUUGGUCAUUGUGUCAAUGUCAUGUUUGAUCAUAUAGGUAACGAAAAGCGUACCUAUUCAAAACGUUUAUUCUUUGUCAUGAUGUGCCUGCAGGUUGUUUUCGCAGUAUCCAAUAGCAACCGUGUAUGACCAGGCGCCCCUUGGACGCCUUGUCUAGCCACGUCUUCCGGGACUGUGUGAUGACUGCCUCUGCAAUCUCAAGUGCCAGUUUCUGCCUCCGGCCUAUUUCUUUAUCAAAGGAUGUUGGUAACUGAACGACUAGCUCUGCUCCAAGAUUCCAAAUCGUUUUACGGUAUUUUAUGCCUACAAAACGUUAAUAUUUGCUGGACGCGUUGAUGCCCGAAUAGGAUGACCUUUAUUCCUAGAUACAGGCAUUCAACGUUGAAUCAAUUACGCUUCUAGCCUUCUGUUUAUUGGCUUUACAUACUUUUUAUUAAUAUUUAUCAUGUGUCUAGCCUGCAAUUCAUUUUACUCACCACCAUCGGACGUUACAACUAUAAGCUUAUAACUACUAUAUACAACUAUAAGCUAUAAGCAGCUAUUCGCUGACUUGACAUAUGAUAUUUUCGCGACGACUCGUUUCGCCCUUCCGCCAUGUUAACUAAUCAUCCGUUACAUCUUUAUGUCAACAGGUAUAGUACAAGUCAUCCUUACCGUCGAUACCGUAGAAGAAUUUGCCGUCGACCACGGAAAACAUAUUGUGCUUCCCGUUGCUGGUUGUUUUCGCAGUAUCCAAUGGCAACCGUGUAUGACCAAGCGCCGCUUGGACGCCUGGACGCCUCGCCCAGCCACGUCUUCCGGGACUGUGUGAUGACUGCCUCUGCACUCACAAGUGCCAGUUUCUGCCUCCGGCUUAUUUCUUUAUCAAAGGAUGUUGGUAACUGAACGACCAGCUCUGCUCCAGGAUUCCAAAUCGUUUUACGGUACCUUGUCCAUCACCAUCAAGAGAUCAACAUUUUUGCAGGCACUUACGUACGGCUGGUAUGUAUUCAUAUUUGAUUGUCAGCACGUUGUAGAAUGCUUUACAUUUUGUGUGAUCAUUUACUGUCCUCUUUCCUACACAAUGCCAACAACAAUGAUGUUUGUCAUCGUUUGCAUGCAUCUAUUGGGAUUGAUGUUUGCGUUUACUGACAGACGCUUGUCAACAUUUUCAGUAUUGUCCGGCGCGAUGCUGAAUGCGACCUGUUAUCUGUUGGAUCUACUCUGUGAGCCCAGACCCCAGUGCAAUGGCACUGUUCAACUACAGCGCUGGACGUCGUCUACUUUUUGCUAGAAACAAAUGUCAUCACCCGUCCAUGAACUUCGGGCUGCUCACAACUAUAUUGCCUUGGCAAGUUCUUUAAGACUUAAUAGGUACUGGACUUGGGCUGCGAAAGCUAAUGACAAUUUGGGCAGCUUGAUAUUGCAAUGGCUAUGGUGCGAAGGUCCAAUAUGGCGAACAGCUCGACUAUUCACCAUUGUCAACGCUUAUGAUAGCUAAAUAUCAUUUUGCUUGGUGUACAUUCACGUCUCGUUUCCUUGCUCCAUUUGUACCUCACCGGUCUUCCGUCACACAGGCUUCGGCUGCAGCACAAGCCACAUUCAUCGGCCCAAUCAUCAGUUAUUCAUCCUGCAAGUUUUAAGUCACUUCGUUGUGACCCGGACAUCGUCAUCUUUCAACGACUUCAAAUGACAUUUCAUUCAUCAUCGUCGAUCAGACUCAUCAUGUAAAGACACUUCCAUAAUGCUAUCUGCCAUCUACGUUUGUGCAGGAAGCAAAUAUCAGGUUGUUAUUAGCUGCGGGCUACUCAGUACCGACUGAACUACUGGCAGUAGUGUGCGAGCACCUAAUACUUGUAUUGUGAUACCAAAGCUAAAACAGAUGAUAGCUUAGCGUAUAGCGCCCUACCGCUUUCCACACACACAUAAACAAAACUUGACUUUGGGCAUUAGCACCAUGGCAGGAUAAACAGGCAGUUUGGCUGUUUUUCACUGCUUUCAUUGGCAGGUGUUAAUGCUCAUUCCCGUUUCAUGUGAUGUUAGAACAGCCCUUCACCAUAGUCCUGUUUUCUCCUUCGCUGUUUUCCAUAGACAUCAGAUGCGACAUGCACCCCAACGAUCGGUCAGGCGCAUCACCGUCAAUCCGGUCGCCUGUCAAUCAUUUCGUAAUCACCGUCAGUCUUCGACAUCGGCCAACACACUUAUCCACAUUAUCGCCUUACUUUUGAUCUUAUCAAUAUGCAAGAAUGAGUGCAAAAUGCAUUGCAAUAUUGUAUCAGUUGAUGUUGUAUCGCAAUGACAACGUAUCCUCACCUCACAUUUGUUGUGCAUACUUGAUCACGAAUGCUAGUUGUUAUACACAGAUUCACAUGGUGAAGUUUUACUCCGUUGGCGUUUUCUUUCCAUUCUUGUAGUCGAUCAAGAGCGAUUGCAGUUGUACAUGCGGCCUUACACAUGCGUCCCUACAUGUUAGCUGAUUGAUAUGUUGGACACAUUCCUGUGAUUCCUGAGUGUGGUUCCUGUGACUCCAAGUAGUUCUGCAUUGGUAUUGCUUCACUUAUGUUGUACCCAAACAUCGUUUCUAGUUUUGUCUUAGCUUGCAGCUGUAUGCCAUGAACACACAGGGUACUGCGCAUCUUUAUCGUGACAUUACUGUAGUUUUGUCGCCUUCGCGGAUGAUUAGGACCAUGAGCUCAGUUGCAGAUGCGUCCAGCAGCCACCGACAUUCUACACUUAGUCCUAUUAUCGGUUCUUAUCCACAUACCAACAUGAUUUGAACAUUUCACACGUUUAGUGAUGAAAUGAACAGGUAUCAUCUACUACAUUAUAUUUUCAUGUAAAGCACACUACAGUCUGUGAAAAAAGAAAACUAUUUGGAGCAACAAUCAUGCCUUAGACAGUAUAGUUGCCAUAGAUAUUACGUUGUGCAGCGGGCAGGCCGGUGCACGAAAUGGCGAGUGUGAAUGCAGGAAUGCGUGUGAAAAACUGUCUAGGUGUGGAGUGGCUGGUUUGUCUUCCGUUACGUUGUAACGGGCUCUUGACGUAGUCUUUUUUUAGUGAAACUAAUCAUCUUUCGUACUUGAAUUAACGUAAUUGAAAUUUGGCUAUCACAUUUGGAGCCAACUUAUUUGCUGAUUGCGUCAAGGGCGGGCAGCGCGGUGCGUGGAUGCCUUUUGGUAAAGCUCACGUCCUAAUAUACUAUCCUGCCCUUACCAAGCGUGCAUCCAUGUUUCCUCCAUCCGGCUCCUCGUGCCGCUGCCUGGAAUAUUAGCCUACGGCUAAUAUACCAAGAGAUGGAAAACUCUUCAUCACUUUGGAUGCCUUAUCUGUCACGGUUAUAGGGGAAGACGGAGGAACACCGACCCCCUUAACCUUUCAGGAUCUAGUCACGUAAUUUUUGGCCACAUGGUCAAUCUCUCAGUUUCAUUGGAUUGUCGCAUCAAUUUUACAAAGAUAUCAACUAAUUGUUUUCUUGUAGUUUCAUUCAUAAUUGCAUUACUACACAUUUAGUAAUGUUUACAUUUUGGGGGUAACACCGCCCAUUGGGUAACAACGCCCGAGCUCAUCAGACAAAUAUUAUUCGCAGAUUGCUGAACUAUUAAAUUUUCCUU